CCUACGGGUGGCAGCAGUGGGGAAUAUUGCACAAUGGGGGAAACCCUGAUGCAGCGACGCCGCGUGAAGGAAGAAGUAUUUCGGUAUGUAAACUUCUAUCAGCAGGGAAGAAAAUGACGGUACCUGACUAAGAAGCCCCGUCUAACUACGUGCCAGCAGCCGCGGUAAUACGUAGGGGGCAAGCGUUAUCCGGAUUUACGGGGUGUAAAGGGGGCGUAGGCGGUGUAGCAAGUCAGAAGUGAAAGCCCGGGGCUCAACCCCAGGAUUGCUUUUGAAACUGGUGAACUAGAUUGCAGGAGAGGUAAGCGGAAUUCCUAGUGUAGCGGUGAAAUGCGUAGAUAUUAGGAGGAACCCCAGUGGCGAAGGCGGCUUACUGGACUGUAAAUGACGCUGAGGCUCGAAAGCGUGGGUAGCAAACAGGAUUAGAUACCCGGGUAGUC
rnacentral:rRNA from 1 species